GCUCAGGACGAACGCUGGCGGCGUGCUUAACACAUGCAAGUCGAGCGAGGCCCAUCUUUCGGGGUGGUGCCCUAGCGGCGAACGGGUGAGUAACACGUGGGCAACCUGCCCUCAGCUCUGGGAUAACUCCAAGAAAUUGGUGCUAAUACCGGAUAUGWCUACUGGCCGCAUGGUCUGGUGGUGGAAAGAUUUAUCGGCUGAGGAUGGGCCCGCGGCCUAUCAGCUUGUUGGUGGGGUGAUGGCCUACCAAGGCGACGACGGGUAGCCGGCCUGAGAGGGUGACCGGUCACACUGGGACUGAGACACGGCCCAGACUCCUACGGGAGGCAGCAGUGGGGAAUAUUGCGCAAUGGGCGGAAGCCUGACGCAGCGACGCCGCGUGAGGGAUGACGGCCUUCGGGUUGUAAACCUCUUUCACCCACGACGAAGCGAAAGUGACGG
rnacentral:rRNA from 1 species